GCUGGGCGCAGUGGCGCAUGCCUGUAGUCCCAGCUACUCAGGAGGUUGAGGUGGAAGGAUCGCUUGAGCCCAGGAGUUCUGGGCUGUAGUGCGCUAUGCCAGUUGGGUGUCUGCACUAAGUUUGGCAUCAAUAUGGUGACCUCCCAGGAGUGGGGGACCACCGGGUUGCCUAAGAAGGGGUGAACCGGCCCAGGUCAGAAAUGGAGCAGGUCAAAACUCCCGUGCUGAUCAGUAGUGGGAUGGGGCCUGUGAAUAGCCACUGUACUCUAGCCUGGGCAACAUAGCGAGACCCCGUCUCUA
ensembl:misc_RNA Metazoa_SRP Metazoan signal recognition particle RNA